rnacentral:rRNA from 1 species
UGCAGAAUCCCGUGAACCAUCGAGUCUUUGAACGCAAGUUGCGUCCGAAGCCAUUAGGCCGAGGGCACGUCUGCCUGGGCGUCA